GACGAACGCUGGCGGCGUGCUUAACACAUGCCAGUCGAACGGAAAGGCCCUGCUUUUGUGGGGUGCUCGAGUGGCGAACGGGUGAGUAACACGUGAGUAACCUGCCCUUGACUUUGGGAUAACUUCAGGCAACUGGGGCUACUACCGGCUAGGAGCUCCUGCUGCAUGGUGGGGGUUGGAAAGCUUCGGCGGAUGGGGAUGGACUCGCGGCUUAUCAGCUUGUUGGUGGGGUAGUGGCUUACCAAGGCUUUGACGGGUAGCCGGCCUGAGAGGGUGAACGGCCACAUUGGUACUAAGGUACGGCGCAGACGGCUACGGGAGGCAGCAGUGGGGAAUAUUGCACAAUGGGGGGAAGCCUGAUGCAGCAACGCCGCGUGCGGGAUGACGGCCUUCGGGUUGUAAACCGCUUUCGCCUGUGACGAAGCGUGAGUGACGGUAAUGAGUAAAGAAGCACCGGCUAACUACGUG
rnacentral:rRNA from 1 species